CAGCAUGUGAUACCAAUGAGGAUUUGCAGUAUGUCAAAUAAAUAACAAGAUGUUCCAAAAUGAUCUCAGUUGAUUGCCAAAGAAUACACAAGGGAUUUCAUUUAACAACAAAAUCAGUUGGUAGCAAUGUCCUUAUCACAUGUAGAUGAUAAAACCAAUCAAACAAAACACAAAUUACAGGAACCACAAUAUUUUAAAAUUCUCAGGUAUAACUGACAGCUAGUUUACCUAUCAAUUAG
rnacentral:misc_RNA from 1 species